CCUACGGGAGGCAGCAGUGAGGAAUAUUGGUCAAUGGCCGAAAGCCUGAACCAGCCAAGUCGCGUGAGGGAUGACUGCCCUAUGGGUUGUAAACCUCUUUUGUAAGGGAGGAAUAAAUGUUACGUGUAGAGUGAUGACUGUACCUUACGAAUAAGCAUCGGCUAACUCCGUGCCAGCAGCCGCGGUAAUACGGAGGAUGCGAGGGUUAUCCGGAUUUAUUGGGUUUAAAGGGUGCGUAGGCGGUUGUUUAAGUUAGUGGUAAAACGGCGGGGCUUAACCGUGAUGUGCCAUUGAUACUGGAAGACUCGAGUGCGGGCGAGGUAGGCGGAAUAAGUGAUGUAGCGGUGAAAUGCUUAGAUAUCACGUAGAACUCCGAUAGCGAAGGCAGCUUACCGGA
rnacentral:rRNA from 1 species